UUAAAGUUCACUUAGAGAUAAGUCAAAAUAAAGGCGUAAUUUUUCCCCCCAUCCAAGGUCACGGACCCCCUGAUGUCUAGCCACAGAUCUGCCCUGAUUAAGAGCCCGGCCAGCAGAACUUUGACCUCGGUCCCAACUUUUUCUUUGCUGCCUACAUGAACUGGUCACUUUUCAAUCUUUUGCCUCGAAUUGAACUUCAGAGUAAAAGCUCAAAGGAUGGAGGGAUCCCUAAGCUGAGAACACAUAGGAAAGCUGUUGGGUUUGCUCCCCAGAAAUGGUAGUCUGUCUCUGACUCAUGGAUGAUAACGGUAACAAGAUGGACCUUGGAAGCCUUGGAAGUAACCUGGUAAAUUUGAAUUUUUGAGAGCUCCUGCACUCGUCAGCUGGAGCUGAUUGGCAGCAGGAGGAGUUUCCUAAAAUGCCCUUCUUGAAGAUGACCACUGACAGAAGGAUAAGUCCAUCCAUGUCCUGGUUAUCCAGAUGAUAUGGACCUUGAGGGACUGGUAUGGAUUGUGCAGAGCCAGGAUGAUUAAAUGGUUCUCAUGAGUUUA